AAUGGACGAAAGUCUGACGCAGCCAUGCCGCGUGAAGGAUGAAUGCCUAGUGGUUGUAAACUUCUUUUAUAUGGGAAGAACCCCCCUACGUGUAGGGGGCUGACGGUACCAUACGAAUAAGCACCGGCUAACUCCGUGCCAGCAGCCGCGGUAAUACGGAGGGUGCAAGCGUUAUCCGGAUUCAUUGGGUUUAAAGGGUGCGCAGGCGGUUUACUAAGUCAGUGGUGAAAUCCUACAGCUCAACUGUAGAACUGCCAUUGAUACUGGUAAACUUGAAUGCGGUUGAAGUGGGCGGAAUGUGUAGUGUAGCGGUGAAAUGCAUAGAUAUUACACAGAACUCCGAUUGCGAAGGCAGCUCACUAAGCCGUUAUUGACGCUCAGGCACGAAAGCGUGGGGAGCGAACAGGAUU
rnacentral:rRNA from 1 species